rnacentral:rRNA from 1 species
CCUACGGGUGGCAGCAGUGGGGGAUAUUGCACAAUGGGGGAAACCCUGAUGCAGCGACGCCGCGUGUGGGAAGACGGUCCUCUGGAUUGUAAACCACUGUCCCCAGGGACGAAGAUGACGGUACCUGGGGAGGAAGCUCCGGCUAACUACGUGCGAGCAGCCGCGGUAAUACGUAGGGAGCGAGCGUUGUCCGGAAUUACUGGGUGAAAAGGGAGCGGUGGCGGGUGUGCAAGUUGGGUGUCAAAUCUACGGGCUAAACCGGAAGCCGACCGCAAAACUGGAGUUUUUGAGGGAAGUAGAGGCAGGCGGAAUUCGUAGUGUAGCGGUGAAAUGCGUAGAUAUUAGGAGGAACACCGGUGGCGAAGGCGGCCUGCUGGGCUUUUACUGACGCUGAGGCUCGAAAGUGUGGGGAGCAAACAGGAUUAGAUACCCGGGUAGUC